rnacentral:rRNA from 1 species
UACGGGGGGGGCAAGCGUUGUUCGGAAUUACUGGGCGUAAAGGGCUCGUAGGCGGCCAACUAAGUCAGACGUGAAAUCCCUCGGCUUAACCGGGGAACUGCGUCUGAUACUGGAUGGCUAGAGGUUGGGAGAGGGAUGCGGAAUUCCCGGUGUAGAGGUGAAAUUCGUAGAUAUCGGGAGGAACACCAGUGGCGAAGGCGGCGACCUGGACAGAUAUUGACGCUGAGGUGCGAAAGCGUGGGGAGCAAACAGG